CUGCAGCCAAUUAAGCCUACCAUGCUGCUCUCCCCAUGGCGCCCAGUGUGCAAUGGCUGCAAACAGCAGCCUCUUGGGUAGUGUAUGCAGCCUGUUGCUUGUACCGGCUGCCCUAAGGGACCCUGGAGACAGCC
ensembl:snoRNA SNORA70 Small nucleolar RNA SNORA70